rnacentral:rRNA from 1 species
AGUGAACGCUGGCGGUAGGCCUAACACAUGCAAGUCGAACGGCAGCACAGUAAGAGCUUGCUCUUACGGGUGGCGAGUGGCGGACGGGUGAGGAAUACAUCGGAAUCUACUUUUUCGUGGGGGAUAACGUAGGGAAACUUACGCUAAUACCGCAUACGACCUACGGGUGAAAGCAGGGGAUCUUCGGACCUUGCGCGAUUGAAUGAGCCGAUGUCGGAUUAGCUAGUUGGCGGGGUAAAGGCCCACCAAGGCGACGAUCCGUAGCUGGUCUGAGAGGAUGAUCAGCCAAGCUGGAACUGAGACACGGUCCAGACUCCUACGGGAGGCAGCAGUGGGGAAUAUUGGACAAUGGGCGCAAGCCUGAUCCAGCCAUACCGCGUGGGUGAAGAAGGCCGUCGGGUUGUAAAGCCCUUUUGUUGGGAAAGAAAAGCAGCAGGUUAAUACCCCGCUGUUCUGACGGUACCCAAAGAAUAAGCACCGGCUAACUU